rnacentral:rRNA from 1 species
GAUGAACGCUGGCGGCGUGCCUAAUACAUGCAAGUCGAGCGAACAGAUGAGGAGCUUGCUCCUCUGACGUUAGCGGCGGACGGGUGAGUAACACGUGGAUAACCUACCUAUAAGACUGGGAUAACUUCGGGAAACCGCAGCUAAUACCGGAUAAUAUAUUGAACCGCAUGGUUCAAUAGUGAAAGACGGUUUUGCUGUCACUUAUAGAUGGAUCCGCGCCGCAUUAGCUAGUUGGUAAGGUAACGGCUUACCAAGGCAACGAUGCGUAGCCGACCUGAGAGGGUGAUCGGCCACACGGGAACUGAGACACGGUCCAGACUCCUACGGGAGGCAGCAGUAGGGAAUCUUCCGCAAUGGGCGAAAGCCUGACGGAGCAACGCCGCGUGAGUGAUGAAGGUCUUCGGAUCGUAAAACUCUGUUAUUAGGGGAGAACAAAUGUGUAAGUAACUAUGCACGUCUUGACGGUACCUAAUCAGAAAGCCACGGCUAACUACGUG